rnacentral:rRNA from 1 species
AACGAACGCUGACGGCAGGCCUAACACAUGCAAGUCGAUCGCUGUCUUCGGACAGAGAGGCGCACGGGUGAGUAACACGUGGGAACAUACCCUUAAGCGCGGAAUAACUAUUGGAAACGAUAGCUAAUACCGCAUACGCCCUACGGGGGAAAGAUUUAUCGCUUAAGGAUUGGCCCGCGUCUGAUUAGCUAGUUGGCGGGGUAACGGCCCACCAAGGCGACGAUCAGUAGCUGGUUUGAGAGAAUGAUCAGCCACACUGGGACUGAGACAGGGCCCAGACUCCUACGGGAGGCAGCAGUGGGGAAAAUUGGGCAAUGGGCUCAAGCCUGAUCCAGCCAUGCCGCGUGAGUGAAGAAGGCCUUCGGGUUGUAAAGCUCUUUCAGGCGUGAAGAUGAUGACGGUAGCGUCAGAAGAAGCCCCGGCUAACUUCGUGCCAGCCGCCGCCGUAA